rnacentral:rRNA from 1 species
AUUCCUACGGGAGGCAGCAGUGAGGAAUAUUGGUCAAUGGACGAGAGUCUGAACCAGCCAAGUAGCGUGAAGGAUGACUGCCCUAUGGGUUGUAAACUUCUUUUAUAUGGGAAUAAAACAGGGUAUGCAUACCCUCUUGUAUGUACCAUAUGAAUAAGGAUCGGCUAACUCCGUGCCAGCAGCCGCGGUAAUACGGAGGAUCCGAGCGUUAUCCGGAUUUAUUGGGUUUAAAGGGUGCGUAGGCGGAUUUUUAAGUCAGCGGUAAAAUGUCCGGGCUCAACCCGGGCCGGCCGUUGAAACUGGGG